AAAAGCUCCUGUCUACAGAAGAAAGCCACAUUCUUCAAGGAAGAAGGGAGACAGGAAGGAGCCGGUGCCACUGCAUGAAGUCAGUAAGGAAGAGUAAGAGUCAUCCAAGGGCACUGUGAGGUAGAGAAGUCUGGCCUGGCAGGCCUGCAGCCUCACCUCCCCCGGGGAACCAGCACUGGAGGGGAAAUGAUCAACAAAUGAUCCUUCUGGACUCCCCAUGAAACAGGUCACCUUCAUGAGGAGCUCUGCUUCUGGGACGAUUCACCAUUCUUCUGCCUCCUGGGGCAGAGAUCCCCAAACCCUGGGCCUCAGGAUUCUUCUCCACUCUUAUGAAUUGGCGAGACCCCUCCAGAGCCUACAUUUAUGCUGCUUACACCUACGUGGUCCAAGGACCACAUUUAGAAGUGAAGUAUUUUGAAGUACUCGUCCAGCCAUCUCUUUCAAUCAAAACAUGGAUUUGCGACACGCUAGCAUAAAAAUCUUUUUUUUUUGGUUCUUUUUAUCGGAGCUGGGGACCGAACCCAGGGCCUUGAGCUUCCUAGGCAAGCGCUCUACCACUGAGCUAAAUCCCCAACCGCCAUAAAAAUCUUAAGUAACAUAAAUGACGUUUCUGUUUUGUGACAGCAACAAGAAGCUGCUCCCCAAACAAAGGAAAAGUAGAUGCAGAGAGCAAACUCCGCCUCUGUUUUUUUUUUUUUUAGCCUCUCUAACAUUUGUCAUAAUAAAAGG
rnacentral:lncRNA from 1 species